GAUCAUGGCUCAGGGUGAACGCUAGCUACAGGCUUAACACAUGCAAGUCGAGGGGCAGCAUGGUCUUAGCUUGCUAAGGCUGAUGGCGACCGGCGCACGGGUGAGUAACACGUAUCCAACCUGCCGUCUACUCUUGGCCAGCCUUCUGAAAGGAAGAUUAAUCCAGGAUGGGGAUCAUGACGUCCACAUCGUCCGCAUGUAAGUUUAAAGGUUACUUUUCCGGGUAGACGAGUGGGG
rnacentral:rRNA from 1 species